CAGUAGCCGCGGUAAUACGUAGGGGGCAAGCGUUAUCCGGAAUAACUGGGCGUAAAGGGUGCGCAGGUGGUUUAACAAGUUAGUGGUGAAAGGCAUAGGCUCAACCAAUGUAAGCCAUUAAAACUGUUUAACUUGAGUGCAGGAGAGGAAAGUGGAAUUCCUAGUGUAGCGGUGAAAUGCGUAGAUAUUAGGAGGAAUACCAGUGGCGAAGGCGACUUUCUGGACUGCAACUGACACUGAGGCACGAAAGCGUGGGGAGCAAACAGGAUUAGAUACCCGUGUAGUCCCUGUCUCUUAUACA
rnacentral:rRNA from 1 species